AUGUUAUCGCACGCAGGCUGGCUGACAUUAGAGCUACGAGAUAAGGUUUCGUGUCGCAGAUGACGCGGGCGCCAGCAACUGCACCGCAGUCCGACGCGUGCUUUCUUUUGUUCAGUUCGCCCUCUUCGACUGCCCGACGGAAGGAAUAGACUCGGACUCGCGAAACGUCAUCUGGGACGCCAUACUGAAGUCCCGCGCCCAGACCACGGUGCUGCUCGCUACGAACAGCACUGACGAGGCUGAGAUUCUGGGAGACCGUAUCGCCAUCAUAUCCAGGAGCCUGAUAAGCUGCUGCGGCUCUGCCAUUUAUCUGCGCAAGAAGUAUGGCCAGGGCUACCGCCUUCAGCUAGCCGUGUCUUCCAAGUGCGACAAGUCGCUGGUCUGCUCGUUCGUCGAGAAGCGGCUGUCGACGGCACAGAAGGUGCUCGAGCGGCGAAACAUCCUCGUCUACUCGCUCGGCUUCACCGGCGCCGCCGACAUCGUGCAUUUCCUGCAGCAGCUGGAGGACAGCCGCAUCAAGCUGCGCGUGAGGAGGGUCUCUGUCAGCGCCUCCUCGCUGGAAGACGUGCUGCUCAGGCUGGACGAGACACUCGAGAAAGAAGAGGCGGGUACUACGGAGGAAGACAAGAGUAAGUGACAUCCGAGCGGCGCUUCUCAAAGCCUUAGAAACCACCAGCCGACGAAAAUAAUUCGAUAUUACGUGCUCUUAGACGGACGAGCUGUUUUCUCUUAUACAUUACAGAUUAUUUUUUCAUUUUUGCAAAUGAAAUGGCUGAGUGUAGCGAAUGUGGCG